GCACGGUAGCAUAAUGGUCAAUGCAUCCGCCCGGAUAGCGGAGGGUGCGGGGUCGAGUCCCGUCUGCUGCC
rnacentral:tRNA from 1 species